CUAAAGAUAGGUUAAGAAAACCUUUGAAUUGUGGUUUCAAAAUUAUAUUUAUAUUCUUUUUC
rnacentral:tRNA from 1 species